GGGUUGUAAAUAAGUCCAACUCU
rnacentral:snRNA from 1 species